GCCUCAGUAACGGCGAGUGAAGCGGCAACAGCUCAAAUUUGAAAUCUGGCCCCCCGGGUCCGAGUUGUAAUUUGCAGAGGAUGCUUUUGGCGCGGUGCCUUCCGAGUUCCCUGGAACGGGACGCCAUAGAGGGUGAGAGCCCCGUCUGGUCGGACACCAAGCCUCUGUAAAGCUCCUUCGACGAGUCGAGUAGUUUGGGAAUGCUGCUCUAAAUGGGAGGUACAUGCCUUCUAAAGCUAAAUACCGGCCAGAGACCGAUAGCGCACAAGUAGAGUGAUCGAAAGAUGAAAAGCACUUUGGAAAGAGAGUUAAAAAGCACGUGAAAUUGUUAAAAGGGAAGCGUUUAUGACCAGACGUGGGCCGGUCAAUCAUCCAGCGUUCUCGCUGGUGCACUUUGCCGGUCCAGGCCAGCAUCAGUUCGCCGCGGGGGACAAAGGCGUCGGGAAUGUGGCUCCUCGGAGUGUUAUAGCCCUUCGCGCAAUACCCUGGGGCGGACUGAGGUUCGCGCUCUGCAAGGAUGCUGGCGUAAUGGUCAUCAACGACCCGUCUUGAAACACGGACCAAGGAGUCGUCUUCGUAUGCGAGUGUUCGGGUGUAAAACCCCUACGCGUAAUGAAAGUGAACGCAGGUGAGAGCUUCGGCGCAUCAUCGACCGAUCCUGAUGUUCUCGGAUGGAUUUGAGUAAGAGCAUACGGGGCCGGACCCGAAAGAAGGUGAACUAUGCCUGUAUAGGGUGAAGCCAGAGGAAACUCUGGUGGAGGCUCGCAGCGGUUCUGACGUGCAAAUCGAUCGUCAAAUAUGGGC
rnacentral:rRNA from 1 species